AAGUCGUAACAAGGUUUCUGUAGGUGAACCUGCAGAAGGAUCAUUAGUGAAGAUUUGGGCAGGCCAUACGGACGCCAAAAAGUGUCCCUGGCCGCCUACACCCACUAUACAUCCACAAACCCGUGUGCACUGUCUUGGAGAAAGGCUUCAGAGAAGUUUUUUGUGGCCUCUCUUGGGGUCUUUCUUCGCUACAAACUCGAAUGGUUAGUAUGAACGUGGAACUUGGUUGGACCGUCACUGGCCAACAAACUAUACACAACUUUCGACAACGGAUCUCUUGGUUCUCCCAUCGAUGAAGAACGCAGCGAAACGCGAUAGGUAAUGUGAAUUGCAGAAUUCCGUGAAUCAUCGAAUCUUUGAACGCACCUUGCGCUCUAUGGCAAUCCGUAGAGCAUGCCUGUUUGAGUGCCAUGAAAUCUCCCACCCCAAGCGGUUUUUAAAUGAAACGGCUUGGCGGAUGGGGUCUGGAUGGGUGCCUCUGCCUGCGCUACCUAGCACAGGCUCGCCCGAAAUGCAUGAGCGCCUUGAGACACUUUGCAUCCGCCUCUCUGUUUGGGAGGAGGCGGCCAAGCAGUGUUUUUCUCCUGGCAUGGCAUGAUACGUCAUUUGCUAUGUCGCCUAAAGGAAGAAUGUUUGGUUGUGUCUGCGUGUGCUUCAAACUUGCCUCUGUGGCACAUCCCAAUUUCACUUCUGGUCUCAAUCAAGUAGGAUCACCCGCUGAACUUAAGCAUAUCAAUAAGCGGAGGAAAUCACUAGUGAAAUCCGCGCCCGCCUGCAAGUCGAACCAUAUGGGAAAAACUCCCAACGCGUUGGAAUGCAAAGCUGGAAUAUUCAAUAAUGGCCCCCAAAAAAACU
rnacentral:rRNA from 1 species